rnacentral:rRNA from 1 species
GACAGAGGUGCCGAGCGUUUAGGCGGAAUCACUGGGCUUAAAGCGUGUGUAGGCGGGCGGGCAAGUACCUUGUGAAAUCCCACGGCUCAACCGUGGAACUGCUGGGUAUACUGCCUGUCUUGAGCCAGUCAGGGGCAGUCGGAACAGACGGUGGAGCGGUGAAAUGCGUAGAUAUCGUCUGGAACGCCAAAGGUGAAAACAGACUGCUGGGACUGUGCUGACGCUGGAGACACGAAAGCCAGGGGAGCGAACGGG